rfam:Tursiops truncatus cont1.309670, whole genome shotgun sequence.
CAGUGUUAGUUGCUUUGACAGUCUCUUAGCUCUUGGAACAACAAUACUAAUAAGUGUAGCAAAAUUAUCAAGGCCCAGAGCUAUGCUUAACUUUUAUACUAUAGCAUCUUUACCAGAGGUGCAUGUUUAAAGCACCAAGGAAACUGCUUUUCUGAAAGAAUG